AGCGAACGCUGGCGGCAGGCCUAACACAUGCAAGUCGAACGAACCCUUCGGAGUUAGUGGCGGACGGGUGAGUAACACGUGGGAACGUGCCUUUAGGUUCGGAAUAACUCAGGGAAACUUGUGCUAAUACCGAAUGUGCCCUUCGGGGGAAAGAUUUAUCGCCUUUAAAGCGGCCCGCGUCUGAUUAGCUAGUUGGUUGGGGUAAUGGCCCACCAAGGCGACGAUCAGUAGCUGGUCUGAGAGGAUGACCAGCCACAUUGGGACUGAGACACGGCCCAAACUCCUACGGGAGGCAGCAGUGGGGAAUCUUGCGCAAUGGGCGAAAGCCUGACGCAGCCAUGCCGCGUGUAUGAUGAAGGUCUUAGGAUUGUAAAAUACUUUCACCGGUGAAGAUAAUGACUGUAGCCGGAGAAGAAGCCCCGGCUAACUUCGUGCCAGCAGCCGCCGUAAUAC
rnacentral:rRNA from 1 species